AUAAUAUAUAUGGUUAACAAAAUAAUCGGUUUUGGGCAUGAAUCGAUACGGGAGGGGCGAGUACCGGAACCGACCCAAUUAUUUAUUUCAACAUAAUAAUGGAGCCGGAUCCUUUAUAAAUGGUUGAGUCGAUUCGGGCCAGCCGGGUAGACCUGAACCGUUGACAGCCCCUUCAAGAACAUGAACGAUGAUAGCGAUUGUGCUGCAGCAAGGUUGGUAUCCCUUUUCCUUCUCCCUUCAGACCUGUACUACGAGGUAAGGACCUUCCAAAACCGCACUCGAUGUUCGUACCUUUGUUAUUGGGGCAUAAGAUUUUGUCCUGCGAAGUUGGUUUUGGAUUUUCACGAAUUAAUAAAUUCUACUAAUGCAAUUUCUGCCUUGUCAUUGCAUGAACGUUCUAAUGGGUUCGGAUUGUCAACUGCCGUAUCAGAAUGACAGCCAUAGGGCAUCGCCACUUCCAUGAGAUUGCGUCAUUGGAGCAGAUUCAAACGUUCGAAUUGGAGAAGUAGUCCGCCGAGGCCUUGCAUACGCCGGAGUCCAGAAAAAGCCACUCUAACCCUCUUCUUCUAUACUCACUUGUAAACUAUUUCUAGUCCACCUGUUCCUGAUUAGAUAUUCUUGGCAGGUGAAGGGCGUGAGCGCAAAGGAGACUCGGAAGCGAUACGGAUGCGGAAGCUGUACAGGCACGGAGAAUGCUCGACUUGCAGGCAAGCUCUGCAAAGCUCUCACGGCUUUACUAUGAGGAAGCUGGUCCAAUCUUCCGUUUUUGGACUCCUCGAGGCGUUGAUACUUUUGGGGAGGGCAUUCCGACUAUAUCGCGCCAUACUAUUGUUUCCGCUUUCCGUUAAUAAUGUAAGUAUAUCUGACACAUCCGGGUGGGAUCCGGGUCCGGUCUAGGUAGAAGCACUCCCGAGUUGAUCAUUAAUUGGGACAAAACCUUAGACCCAAAACCGUUAAUUUUAACUUAAAAUUUAGGUUGAAACAAAAACAUAGGUUUAAGACCGAACAAUUUAAGAUAAAAAACACCACUUUUCUUAUUUAAAUCGCAAACUAAAAUUUAAACUUUAAACAUAGAUCGUU